rnacentral:snRNA from 1 species
GAAUGUGGGGGUGAUCUGGCUGUGACAUCUGUCAUCCCCUUGAUUGCCAGGGUUGAUUUGGCUGAUCUGGCUGGCUAGGCGGGUGUCGCUCUCCUCCGACACUGCUCCAUGUGCAUUCCUCCUGAACCUGCAUGCCUGGUGGAAGAGGACAGCCUUCCUUGAUGGAGGAGGACAAUUCUUUGGUCAAGUGUGUAUGAGUAGCUGAGCUCCCCAGCUAUAACCUCCAAACAAGCUCUCUAAUAGGACCAACCUCAUAGAACUGUUGUGAGCAUUAAAUGACUAUAUACACACAUAGCAU